AACGAACGCUGGCGGCAUGCCUAACACAUGCAAGUCGAACGGGGAUCCUAGCUUGCUAGGUGAGAGUGGCGGACGGGUGAGUAACACGUGGGAAUCUGCCUUUUGGUUCGGGAUAACCGCGGGAAACUGCGGCUAAUACCGAAUGCCCUCGAGAGAGGAAAGAUUUAUCGCCAGAAGAGGAGCCCGCGUCCGAUUAGGUAGUUGGUGGGGUAAAGCCUACCAAGCCGACGAUCGGUAGCUGGUCUGAGAGGAUGAUCAGCCACACUGGGACUGAGAUACGGCCCAGACUCCUACGGGAGGCAGCAGUGGGGAAUAUUGGACAAUGGGGGCAACCCUGAUCCAGCAAUGCCGCGUGAGUGAUGAAGGCCUUA
rnacentral:rRNA from 1 species